rnacentral:rRNA from 1 species
AUUGAACGCUGGCGGCAGGCUUAACACAUGCAAGUCGAACGGUAACAUAAAGAAGCUUGCUUCUUUGAUGACGAGUGGCGGACGGGUGAGUAAUGCUUGGGAAUCUAGCUUAUGGAGGGGGAUAACUACGGGAAACUGUAGCUAAUACCGCGUAGAAUCGGGAGAUGAAAGUGUGGGACCUUCGGGCCACAUGCCAUAGGAUGAGCCCAAGUGGGAUUAGGUAGUUGGUGAGGUAAAGGCUCACCAAGCCGACGAUCUCUAGCUGGUCUGAGAGGAUGACCAGCCACACUGGGACUGAGACACGGCCCAGACUCCUACGGGAGGCAGCAGUGGGGAAUAUUGCGCAAUGGGGGCAACCCUGACGCAGCCAUGCCGCGUGAAUGAAGAAGGCCUUCGGGUUGUAAAGUUCUUUCGGUAGCGAGGAAGGCAUUUAGUUUAAUAAACUGGAUGAUUGACGUUAACUACAGAAGAAGCACCGGCUAACUCCGUGCCAGCAGCCGCGGUAAUACGGAGGGUGCGAGCGUUAAUCGGAAUAACUGGGCGUAAAGGGCACGCAGGCGGUGACUUAAGUGAGGUGUGAAAGCCCCGGGCUUAACCUGGGAAUUGCAUUUCAUACUGGGUCGCUAGAGUACUUUAGGGAGGGGUAGAAUUCCACGUGUAGCGGUGAAAUGCGUAGAGAUGUGGAGGAAUACCGAAGGCGAAGGCAGCCCCUUGGGAAUGUACUGACGCUCAUGUGCGAAAGCGUGGGGAGCAAACAGG